UACGAAGGGUGCAAGCGUUACUCGGAAUUACUGGGCGUAAAGCGUGCGUAGGUGGUUCGUUAAGUCUGUUGUGAAAGCCCCGGGCUCAACCUGGGAAUGGCGAUGGAUACUGGCGGGCUAGAGUGCGGUAGAGGAGAGUGGAAUUCCCGGUGUAGCAGUGAAAUGCGUAGAGAUCGGGAGGAACAUCAGUUGCGAAGGCGGCUCUCUGGACCAGCACUGACACUGAGGCACGAAAGCGUGGGGAGCAAACAGG
rnacentral:rRNA from 1 species